AUUGAACGCUGGCGGCAGGCUUAACACAUGCAAGUCGAGCGGGGUGAUGGUGCUUGCACUAUCACUUAGCGGCGGACGGGUGAGUAAUGCUUAGGAAUCUGCCUAUUAGUGGGGGACAACAUCUCGAAAGGGAUGCUAAUACCGCAUACGUCCUACGGGAGAAAGCAGGGGAUCACUUGUGACCUUGCGCUAAUAGAUGAGCCUAAGUCGGAUUAGUUAGUUGGUGGGGUAAAGGCCUACCAAGGCGACGAUCUGUAGCGGGUCUGAGAGGAUGAUCCGCCACACUGGGACUGAGACACGGCCCGGACUCCUACGGGAGGCAGCAGUGGGGAAUAUUGGACAAUGGGGGGAACCCUGAUCCAGCCAUGCCGCGUGUGUGAAGAAGGCCUUAUGGUUGUAAAGCACUUUAAGCGAGGAGGAGGCUCUUUUGGUUAAUACCCAGAAUGAGUGGACGUUACUCGCAGAAUAAGCACCGGCUAACUCUGUGCCAGCAGCCGCCGUAAAAC
rnacentral:rRNA from 1 species